rnacentral:rRNA from 1 species
AUGAGCCGCCCGCUCUGCAACCACUACGCCGCUCUCCUCUCCUCCUCCUCCGCCGCCGCCGCCGCCGCCAGCGGCCGCGAUGGGGCCCGCGUCUCCGGCGCCGUCCACGGCCUCGUCCUCCGGACGCUCCCGCACCCGCCGCCCACCUACCUCCUCAACCACCUCCUCGCCGCCUACGCCAGGUCCGGCCGCCUCCCCCUCGCGCGCCGCCUGUUCGACGCAAUGCCCGACCCCAACCUCUUCACCCGCAACGCGCUGCUCUCGGCGCUGGCCCGCGCGCGCCUCCUCCCGGACAUGGAGCGGCUCUUCGCGUCCAUGCCCGAGCGCGACGCGGUGUCCUACAACGCGCUCAUCGCGGGCUUCUCGGGCGCCGGCGCCCCCGCGCGGGCGGCCCGGGCGUACCAAGCGCUGCUCCGGGAGGAGGCGGUGGUGGACGGCGCCAGGGUCAGGCCCAGCCGCAUCACCAUGUCCGGCAUGGUCAUGGCCGCGUCGGCGCUCGGCGACCGCGCGCUCGGCCGGCAGGUGCACUGCCAGAUCCUGCGGCUCGGGUUCGGGGCCUACGCCUUCACCGGGAGCCCGUUGGUUGAUAUGUACGCCAAGAUGGGGCUCAUUGGGGACGCCAAGCGGGUCUUUGAUGAGAUGGAGGGCAAGAAUGUGGUGAUGUAUAAUACGAUGAUCACGGGUCUCCUCCGGUGCAAGAUGGUUGAGGAGGCCAGGGGGGUGUUUGAGGCGAUGGUCGACAGGGACUCCAUCACCUGGACUACGAUGGUUACAGGGCUGACGCAGAAUGGGUUGCAGUCGGAGGCGCUGGAUGUUUUCAGGCGGAUGAGUGCUGAGGGUGUCGGCAUUGAUCAGUACACUUUCGGAAGCAUCCUUACAGCCUGUGGCGCCCUUGCUGCCUCAGAAGAGGGGAAGCAAAUCCAUGCCUACACAAUCAGAACUCUGUAUGAUGACAAUAUUUUUGUUGGAAGUGCGCUUGUUGACAUGUACUCAAAGUGCAGGAGCAUCAGAUCGGCAGAAGCCGUUUUCAGAAGGAUGACAUGCAAAAACAUCAUCUCAUGGACUGCAAUGAUCGUUGGCUAUGGACAGAAUGGGUGCGGCGAGGAGGCUGUGAGGGUGUUCUCGGAGAUGCAGAGGGAUGGGAUUAAGCCUGAUGAUUUCACUCUUGGCAGUGUUAUAAGUUCUUGUGCUAAUCUAGCAAGCCUGGAAGAGGGAGCACAGUUCCACUGUAUGGCGCUUGUCUCAGGGUUGAGGCCGUACAUUACAGUGUCUAAUGCACUCGUUACCUUGUACGGAAAGUGUGGCAGUAUCGAGGACGCACACCGCCUGUUUGAUGAGAUGCCGUUUCAUGAUCAAGUCUCCUGGACUGCCCUUGUCUCAGGUUAUGCGCAGUUUGGGAAAGCAAAAGAAACUAUGGAUUUGUUUGAGAAGAUGUUAUUGAAGGGUGUGAAGCCUGACGGGGUAACAUUUAUUGGUGUCCUUUCUGCUUGUAGCCGUUCAGGGCUUGUGGAGAAAGGCCGCAGCUACUUUCAUUCCAUGCAGAAGGACCAUGGUAUUGUGCCCUUGGACGAUCACUAUACUUGUAUGAUUGACCUUUAUAGCAGAUCAGGGAGGUUAAAAGAAGCUGAGGAGUUCAUAAGGCAGAUGCCACGGUGUCCUGAUGCAAUUGGAUGGGCCACAUUGCUUAGUGCAUGCCGGUUGCGUGGCGACAUGGAUAUUGGGAAAUGGGCUGCUGAGAAUCUCUUGAAAACUGACCCUCAAAACCCAGCGAGCUAUGUCUUGCUGUGCAGCAUGCAUGCUUCUAAAGGUGAAUGGAGCGAGGUUGCCCAGCUUAGGUGCGGAAUGAGGGAUAGGCAAGUGAAGAAGGAACCAGGCUGCAGCUGGAUCAAGUAUAAAAAUAAAGUUCACAUAUUUUCAGCCGACGAUCAGUCUCACCCCUUCUCCGGAACAAUUUAUGAAAAGCUCCAGUGGCUCAACUCUAAGAUGCUGGAAGAAGGAUACAAGCCUGAUGUCAGUUCUGUGCUGCAUGAUGUGGCAGAUGCUGAGAAGGUUCACAUGCUCAGCAAUCAUAGCGAGAAGCUUGCAAUUGCCUUUGGCUUAAUUUUUGUUCCAGAGGAAAUGCCGAUCCGGGUUGUCAAGAAUCUGCGUGUUUGUGUGGAUUGCCACAAUGCUACCAAGUUCAUCUCGAAGAUAACCGGUCGUGAUAUUCUUGUGAGGGAUGCUGUCAGAUUUCACAAGUUUAGCAAUGGCAUUUGCUCAUGUGGGGACUUCUGG